rnacentral:rRNA from 1 species
AUGGUAUUACGGGACAGCAAUGGACAGCUCAUCUUCUCUGCGUACCGGGUGAUAUUCCACUGUAAUGAAGCUCUGGAAGCCGAACUACAUGCGAUAAUGCAAGGCAUGGCUUUGGCCAUCCAACAUUCUACACUUCCAGUGGUUGUUCAGUCGGACUCGGCGGAAGCACUCUCAAGUUUGGUGAGCAAGGGACUGGAGCGUUCGGCGUAUGGGCAUCUGGUUCGUGAAAUCAAGGAGUUAAUGUGUAAUAGGGAGUUUUAUCCUCAGAAAAUUCAUCGUAGUCAAAAUAGAGUUGCAGAUCGGUUGGCCAACUAUAGCCGUACGGAGAGUACUACUGCUGUAUGGUUAACUUCGGCUCCACCUUGUAUCGAGGAGCUUUGGCCUCUUGAUUGUAACACUAUUAUCCAGUAA